rnacentral:tRNA from 1 species
UCCUCCAUAGUUCAGUCGGUAGAACAGCGGACUGUUAAUCCGCGUGUCACUGGUUCGAAUCCAGUUGGAGGAGCCA